rnacentral:rRNA from 1 species
GAAAGUGACGGUACCUGCAGAAAAAGCACCGGCUAACUACGUGCCAGCAGCCGCGGUAAUAYGUAGGGUGCAAGCGUUGUCCGGAAUUAUUGGGCGUAAAGAGCUAGUAGGCGGUUUGUCGCGUCUGCUGUGAAAACGCGAGGCUCAACCUCGCGCCUGCAGYGGGUACGGGCAGACUAGAGUGCGGUAGGGGAGAUUGGAAUUCCUGGUGUAGCGGUGGAAUGCGCAGAUAUCAGGAGGAACACCGAUGGCGAAGGCAGAUCUCUGGGCCGUAACUGACGCUGAGGAGCGAAAGCGUGGGGAGCGAACAGGAUUAGAUACCCUGGUAGUCCACGCCGUAAACGUUGGGAACUAGAUGUGGGGACCAUUCCACGGUCUCCGUGUCGCAGCUAACGCAUUAAGUUCCCCGCCUGGGGAGUACGGCCGCAAGGCUAAAACUCAAAGGAAUUGACGGGGGCCCGCACAAGCGGCGGAGCAUGCGGAUUAAUUCGAUGCAACGCGAAGAACCUUACCAAGGCUUGACAUAUACCGGAAACGUCUAGAAAUAGUCGCCCCGCAAGGUCGGUAUACUAGGUGGUGCAUGGUGUCGUCAGCUC